AACGAACGCUGGCGGCAUGCCUAACACAUGCAAGUCGAGCGAGCCCUUCGGGGCUAGUGGCGCACGGGUGCGUAACGCGUGGGAACCUGCCUUUAGGUUCGGAAUAACCCAGAGAAAUUAGAGCUAAUACCGGAUGAUGUCUUCGGACCAAAGAUUUAUCGCCUUUAGAUGGGCCCGCGUUGGAUUAGCUAGUUGGUGGGGUAAAGGCCUACCAAGGCGACGAUCCGUAGCUGGUCUGAGAGGAUGAUCAGCCACACUGGGACUGAGACACGGCCCAGACUCCUACGGGAGGCAGCAGUGGGGAAUAUUGGACAAUGGGCGAAAGCCUGAUCCAGCCAUGCCGCGUGAGUGAUGAAGGCCUUAGGGUUGUAAAGCUCUUUUACCCGGGAUGAUAAUGACGGUACCGGGAGAAUAAGCCCCGGCUAACUUCGUG
rnacentral:rRNA from 1 species